CUACACCAAACUUUCCACCUACUCCCUUCCCCACCACACGCAAGAAUGCAUCUAACAUUCCAUUAUACAGGCAACAAUCUUUUCAUCAUCUUCAUUCUUCACUAAGGAACCGAAGAGCAGCCAUGAGUUCUGCCAUAAGCACACUGCUCCGGCAGUGUUUUGCAAGGCGAUUCCAGCCAUCCAAAAGGUCCGGGCGACAGAAAGUGAAGCCGAAGAAGAAACGACUCCACGCCAGCUUUAAGAACAAUUGAGGUUGAGCUGUGAUGGGCGAUGAAGUGUUGCUGAGUGGAGUUUUUGUCGAACUUAAAGUAGGCUCAGAAAGGAUACAUGUCUUCAUACAUGUAUCACAGUUAUGCUUUCCGCUGUAAACACUGAUUAUUUCAGUUACGCCUUCCGUUGCAAACUCUGAUAAUGUUUUAGCCAAGCCCCUAAUGAUGCCUUUUUCCUUUUAAGGAAUAUAACGCGUAUACAAGUUCUUUGAGUACCCUUUUUAUGCGAACUAUGCCUUUUUCCUUUUUAAGGAAUAUUUCACGCGUAUUCAAGCUCUUUGAGUAUUCUUUUAUGCACCCCUUUCUAAACCCGCUUCUUAAUUUCCCUUCCCCAGUCAUGGUUUUCCCGGAUUAAUUAUCCUUAAUUAAGGCCGGUCGUGACAGAGUGGUAUCAGAGCAGUUCAUUUGCUCUGAGCCUAAGAGUUUAUUUAAGCCAAACUUAGAAUGGAUCAAUAAAGUGUCUAGAGUUCAAUCAACAAAGCUCAGCACUUCAUCGCAUCACACUCAACGAAGCAGAAUGGUAAACUCUUCCAAGCUUGAGUUAAUGUUUACAAAAAGUGAGAAUUAUCGUAAUAGCAAAGUGAGUAACUGUCAAUAGCUUUGUUAUGUUGUUAUUGAAUGAAAUGAUUUACGCAAGUACGAUUAAAUAUGCCUAUGGAAUGAAUCCCUAUGAACAUAGAGCUAUUAAGAUAUGAGAUCACCACUGCGACAGAACAUAGAAGCAAACGUAGAAGAAAUUCGACUGUAUCUUUGGUGGUUAUAGUGAAGGCAGCAAGAUAAGUGAUACAUAUAGAAUAAUUUUUAAGCUCAUGAUUUUAUAGCCGCUAUGAAUCUCCAUGACUUAUGCCUAAGUAUCCAAUUUAGAUGAUAUGAUAUUAUAUGCUUAAGAAUUGAUAUGACUCAUGGAUAUGAGAUGCCAAGGACCCUUAGAGCUUACUACAUCAAUGUUGUCAUUGGAGUUAUGACUUGUUUACAAGUUAGAAUAAGUUAACAUGUACAAGAAUUCUUUUGAGGAUUGUAUUAGAUUAUGCUAGAGUGUACUAAUUGGCACAUCCUUGCUAUCAGAAUGCCGCCUAAGAGAGGACGCCCUGCGAGAAACAAUAACAAUCGCAGAAACCGUAACGCUGUACCCGAAGAACCACAAGAUGCUCGAGGACAUAACCCAUCCCUCCGCCCCCAACUAGGAGAGUCGAAGAACUCUUUUUAAGGCAAAAUCCGCCUACGUUUGACGGAACGAGUGAACCAGCUGAAGCUGAGAUUUGGGUGCGUGCAAAUGAACGCAUCUUCAACUUUCUACAUUGUACUGAUGAGGAGCGCCUAUCUUGCGUCUCAUUCCAGCUAACAUGAUCAGCGGAUUUCUGGUGGGAAACACGACGAAAAAUUCUGACACCUGAACAAUGGGCAAGUUAUACUUGGGAAGAUUUUAAGACAGGAUUAUAUGAUAAAUAUAUUCCGAAAAGCUAUAGGAAGAAGAAAGAAGUUAAGUUCUACGAGUUGAAGCAAGGAAAGAAAUCUGUGGUUGAAUAAAACAAGGAAUUUCACCUUGCCCAAAUUGUGGUAAGAUGCAUAGGGGUGUCUGUCGUGCCGGGACUAACGGUUGUUACAAUUGUGGCCAAAAGGGUCACUACUCCACGCAAUGCCCCAACAAACAACGAGGUUCAACAAUUGAGAACAGCCACACCCCCUUGCCAGCAAUACGUGGACACUUGCGAAAUCAGUUUCAAUCACAUCAGUGAAAAUCUUAUGGAGGCACCGCAGAUAUAAAAAAAAUUACGUGGGAGUUUGAAGACAAAAUGAAAGAGAAGUACCCGGAUUGUUUUAACAGAGAUAUGCAAAUUUCGGGACGAAAUUUUUGUUAAGAGGGGUAGUAUGUAGUAGCCCGCUCUUUUAUUUAUGAUAAAAACUAGUAAAUGCAAUUUUUAUAAAUGAAUCCAGUUUAUGGUCCUGAUUUUUUUUUUUUUAUCAGAGACGGAGUUAUUAUUUUAGCUUUAUACUUUUAUAACGUAUAAGAAAAACGCGACGAGGAUUAUUGAGCCAUUCAAUAAUUUAUUAUCCAGUUUGAUAACUGACUUAGCAAAGUCAAGUUAUUAAUUUAUAUGCGAUAGAAAUAGUAUUUCUAUUAUUUACUUGAAGUCGUGAUUAAUUUUCGACUUAUAAAACGAAUUAUAAAAUAUGUAAUUCGUAGAGAGUUAUAACGAAGCGUCGUUAUUUAGUAGAACCCAAUAUUAGUUUUACAAAUACUUGUAACUUCAAUACUUUACAAAUCAUUAUUUUUCCACUCCCUAAUGUUUCCUACACUAUACACGCAUAAUCUCCACUUCUCCACUCCACCAACUAUCUCCAUCACCUUUUGCUUUCUUCCACUACAUUUUUUCUCACCACCCUUUCCACUCCACUAAUUCCACUACACCAAACUUUCCACCUACUCCCUUCCCCACCACACGCAAGAAUGCAUCUAACAUUCCAUUAUACAGGCAACAAUCUUUUCAUCAUCUUCAUUCUUCACUAAGGAACCGAAGAGCAGCCACGAGUUCUGCCAUAAGCACACUGCUCCGGCAGUGUUUUGCAAGGCGAUUCCAGCCAUCCAAAAGGUCCGGGCGACAGAAAGUGAAGCCGAAGAAGAAACGACUCCACGCCAGCUUUAAGAACAAUUGAGGUUGAGCUGUGAUGGGCGAUGAAGUGUUGCUGAGUGGAGUUUUUGUCGAACUUAAAGUAGGCUCAGAAAGGAUACAUGUCUUCAUACAUGUAUCACAGUUAUGCUUUCCGCUGUAAACACUGAUUAUUUCAGUUACGCCUUCCGUUGCAAACUCUGAUAAUGUUUUAGCCAAGCCCCUAAUGAUGCCUUUUUCCUUUUAAGGAAUAUAACGCGUAUACAAGUUCUUUGAGUACCCUUUUUAUGCGAACUAUGCCUUUUUCCUUUUUAAGGAAUA